AGAGUUUGAUCCUGGCUCAGGACGAACGCUGGCGGCGUGCUUAACACAUGCAAGUCGAACGGAAAGGCCCUUCGGGGUACUCGAGUGGCGAACGGGUGAGUAACACGUGGGUGAUCUGCCCUGCACUUUGGGAUAAGCCUGGGAAACUGGGUCUAAUACCGAAUAGGACCACGCGCUUCAUGGUGUGUGGUGGAAAGCUUUUGCGGUGUGGGAUGGGCCCGCGGCCUAUCAGCUUGUUGGUGGGGUAAUGGCCUACCAAGGCGACGACGGGUAGCCGGCCUGAGAGGGUGACCGGCCACACUGGGACUGAGAUACGGCCCAGACUCCUACGGGAGGCAGCAGUGGGGAAUAUUGCACAAUGGGCGCAAGCCUGAUGCAGCGACGCCGCGUGAGGGAUGACGGCCUUCGGGUUGUAAACCUCUUUCAAUAGGGACGAAGCGCAAGUGACGGUACCUAUAGAAGAAGCACCGGCCAACUACGUGCCAGCAGCCGCGGUAAUACGUAGGGUGCGAGCGUUGUCCGGAAUUACUGGGCGUAAAGAGCUCGUAGGUGGUUUGUCGCGUUGUUCGUGAAAACUCACAGCUUAACUGUGGGCGUGCGGGCGAUACGGGCAGACUAGAGUACUGCAGGGGAGACUGGAAUUCCUGGUGUAGCGGCGGAAUGCGCAGAUAUCAGGAGGAACACCGGUGGCGAAGGCGGGUCUCUGGGCAGUAACUGACGCUGAGGAGCGAAAGCGUGGGGAGCGAACAGGAUUAGAUACCCCGGUAGUCC
rnacentral:rRNA from 1 species